rnacentral:tRNA from 1 species
GCGGGAAUAGCUCAGUUGGUAGAGCNACGACCUUGCCAAGGUCGGGGUCGCGAGUUCGAGUCUCGUUUCCCGCUCCA